UACGUAGGGGGCAAGCGUUGUCCGGAUUUAUUGGGCGUAAAGCGCGCGUAGGCGGCAAGGUAUGUCGUGCGUGAAAUCUCCCGGCUUAACUGGGAGGGGCCGUGCGAAACUGCCUGGCUUGAGGUCGGAAGGGGAAAGUGGAAUUCCGGGUGUAGUGGUGGAAUACGUAGAUAUCCGGAGGAACACCGGUGGCGAAGGCGGCUUCCUGGACCGAUUACUGACGCUGAGGCGCGAAAGCUAGGGGAGCAAACGGG
rnacentral:rRNA from 1 species